AUGUGAGGACUGGUUCAAAGCCCACUAAAGUCAAUGAAAGUCUUUCCAUUGACUUAAAUGGGUUUUGAAUCAGACCCUAAAU
rnacentral:pre_miRNA from 1 species